CAUUAUCAACCUACCAAGAAAUAAAGUUUGUUCUGUUUUUUCUGCUCCUUUGAUCUCUUUGCUAAAAUUCAUGCGGUGAUUUGUGUUCCAGGCCAAUCAAGAGGCUGAACAGAGCUGUGCAGGUGAGCAUGCAUUCAUUAUAUUCCCACGGUUGAUAUUCUUUGCGGUACUACAUCUAUGGUAGAUUUAGUCGCUGCUGCCAUACACCAGAUACCCAGAUCUUCUUUAGGCCCUUCGUCGGCGAGGAGUAUCACAAGGUACGCCAAUCGCUUGGUCUUAUCUUCCUGCUCUACGAAAACAAGCACACAAACCCAAUUUACUAUGUUACACCCUUGGCUUCCGACGAGGUGGACGAGGCGUGAGGCUGACGGUGGCGCUGGUAGUCCGCAAGGAACCGGAUUUGGACGCGCUCUCCCUCGUCGCUAGGUAAGAGACCCAGGUAAGGAACAUAUAAGUGGUUGUUCUGAUUUUGGAUAUUAGCCAAUUUCCCCCUCCAAUCUGUUACUGAUUUAUAUGCCCUUCUAGGGAUCAGCAGAUCCCACACCUAUUACAUGAUUUGUCCUUCUAGAAUAGAAUCCGCUUUCUAUCUUCUGAACCGGCACUGCCUUCUUCAAUAUCGGCCACCGGUCGGUCCACCUCUUCAAUAAUCGUCCUUCACUUCAGUUGUGAGUUGUGACA
rnacentral:lncRNA from 1 species